rnacentral:rRNA from 1 species
UCUGGUGCCAGCAGCCGCGGUAAUUCCAGCUCCAAAUAGCGUAUAUUAAAAGUUGUUGCAGUUAAAAAGCUCGUAGUUGAAUUUCGGGGUCAGUAAGUUGGUCGUGCCACUGGUAUGUACUGGCUUACUGGUUCCUCCUUCUUGAAGAACUGUGAUGUCAUUUAUUUGGUGUUGCAGGGAAACAGGACUGUUACUUUGAAAAAAUUAGAGUGUUUAAAGCAGGCUAACGCUUGAAUACAUUAGCAUGGAAUAAUGAAAUAGGACGUUUGACCCUAUUUUGUUGGUUUCUAGGAUCGACGUAAUGAUUAAUAGGGAUAGUUGGGGGCAUUAGUAUUCAAUUGUCAGAGGUGAAAUUCUUGGAUUUAUUGAAGACUAACUACUGCGAAAGCAUUUGCCAAGGAUGUUUUCAUUAAUCAAGAACGAAAGUUAGGGGAUCGAAGACGAUCAGAUACCGUCGUAGUCUUAACCAUAAACUAUGCCGACUAGGGAUCGGAUGAUGUUAAUUUUUUAAUGACUCAUUCCGC